rnacentral:snRNA from 1 species
GUGUUCGCCACAGCAGCACAUAUACUAAAAUUGGACCGAUAGAGAGCAGAUUAGCAUGCAUGGCCCCUUCGAAAUGAUGACACGCAAAUCUGUGAAGCACGCCUCGUUUUU